rnacentral:rRNA from 1 species
AUUGAACGCUGGCGGCAGGCUUAACACAUGCAAGUCGAGCGGAGAGAGGUAGCUUGCUACUGAUCUUAGCGGCGGACGGGUGAGUAAUGCUUAGGAAUCUGCCUAUUAGUGGGGGACAACAUUUCGAAGGGAAUGCUAAUACCGCAUACGUCCUACGGGAGAAAGCAGGGGAUCUUCGGACCUUGCGCUAAUAGAUGAGCCUAAGUCGGAUUAGCUAGUUGGUGGGGUAAAGGCCUACCAAGGCGACGAUCUGUAGCGGGGCUGAGAGGAUGAUCCGCCACACUGGGACUGAGACACGGCCCAGACGCCGACGGGAGGCAGCAGUGGGGAAUAUUGGACAAUGGGCGGAAGCCUGAUCCAGCCAUGCCGCGUGUGUGAAGAAGGCCUUAUGGUUGUAAAGCACUUUAAGCGAGGAGGAGGCUACUUAGAUUAAUACUCUAGGAUAGUGGACGUUACUCGCAGAAUAAGCACCGGCUAACUCUGUGCCAGCCGCCGCGGUAACAC